UCGGCCUGUGCCACUCAAACUGUGGGGGCACUUUCUGUUCUGGUGAAAGUGCCGCCAUUUUUUGAGUGUUACCGACUGU
rnacentral:pre_miRNA from 1 species